rnacentral:sRNA from 1 species
GCUGGGCAUGGUGGCGCAUGCCUGUAAUCCCAGCUACUCAGGAGGUUGAGGCAGGAUAAUUGCUUGAACCCAGGAGGUGGAGGUUGCAGUAAGCCGAGGCUGGGUCACUGCACUCCAGCCUGGGCAACAGAGCGAGACUCUGUCUCAA